GGCUGGUGUGCAUUCAAGUCAUUUAUUUACUUGCUUACUUUUUAUUUUCCAGAGAUGAUACAUCUGGAAAGUUGGUAUUCAGGUAGUUGGUAGAUCGUGUAGUUCAACUAAUUUCUAGAUAGAAGCUGAUUCUUUUGAUACCAGAGGCUGGAAUUCUUGGGUGCUCUAAGUCCUGGAUAUACAAUAGAUGAUGACAACAUUUUUCUGUUAUGCAUGAAGGUAGAUGAUUUUCAAAUUAAAGAUGGAACGUGACUUUUCUCACCAGAAAUGCCUUAUAGAAUCAACUUGCACAAAUGUAAGAAACACUAAAGGAAAGAGUGAAAUACUUGCUUUUAUCAUUCUUAGAUUCUUUGCUAGAUUAUAAACUCCAUGAAAGUGGGAAAGCUUCCUUAUCUGUAAUGCCUGGCCCAGAAUAGAUACUGAAAAAUACAUGAAGUGAUUUGAAACCUCCAUUAAUUUUUUUUUUUAAGAUUUUUAUUUAUUUAUUUAAUUCUCAGAGAGAGGGAGAGAGUACAAGCAGGGGGAGUGGCAGGCAGAGUAGGCAGAGGGAGAAGCAGCCUUCCUACCAAGCAAGAAGCCCGACGUAAGACUUGAUUCCAGGACCCUGGGAUCACAACCUGAACCGAAGGCAGCUGCUUAACCAACUGAACCCCCCAGGCGUCCGCAAAAAUCUUUUUAAGUCCUUGGAAAAUGGCAACCAUUUUAAUGGCAUUUCAGCAAGAUAUUUAUUUAUAUGUAAUAAUUGGGACUUCAAUUUUCACUCUGACUCUGAUGGAAAUUAUAUGUAUAGGUACAUUAAACUAUCUGAGUACCACGGAGUCUACUUAAAACACUUAGUAUUUGGGGAGCCUGGAUGGCUCAGUUGGUAAAGCCUAUGACUCUUGAUCUUAGGGUUGUGAGUUCAAGCCCCACCUUGGGUAUAAAGAUUAUUUAAAAAAUAAAAUCUUAAAAAAAAUUAAACUCUUGAUACUUAAUUAUGAUGCCUGACCCAUUACGAGUCAAUGAAGAAUGGCUACCAAAACAAUCUGGCUAUGUGAGGAAUAAUAUAAAAUGUGAGAAAGAUUUCAUUUUAUAAAAGCUGAGUGAUGUUCAUUCUUCACAUA